CUGGGACUACAGGCGCCCGCCAUCACGCCCGGCUAAUUUUGUGUAUUUUUUAGUAGAGACGGGGUUUCACCGUGUUAGCCAGGAUGGUCUCGAUCUCCUGACCUCGUGAUCCGCCCGCCUCGGCCUCCCAAAGUGCUGGGAUUACAGUCUGGAGCCACCGCGCCCGGCCCUGAGGUGUGGAAAAUAAGGUUCUAAGAAGUUAAAGUAAAACAGGUCAUCCAGCUAGAAAAUAACAUGGAUGACACUCAAAUGCAGGCUACAUUUGCUCUGAGAAGCCAUGAGCUGGAGCUUUCUGGAGCACAAGUCAGAUGACAAGAUUAUUAAUGGGAGCAGGGCAAUGUCAUAUCUGAUUUCAUGCAUAUUCAUGUAGGGAGCCACACAGCUGGGACCAUGCGCUGUGGAGAGGACAAAUAAAGAGUGCUCUACCCCCCACCCCCAGCAUGAAGAAUGUCAUUGUGGAGAUGAGGAGCCUGAUUGGAAAAGUUUAAG
ensembl:lncRNA novel transcript